AGCCCAGAAAGUUGAAAACAUUAUUAAAAUAGUCAAAGUGACUACAGUGCCUCAACCUGAAGUUUAUCAAGCGAUGAGAAUACUUUUUGUGCGCAAAAAAACAAACAAAAUAACGUCUUUAAUCAACUAUUAAUUUUCCUCUUUGUUUCUCUGAGUGAGUUCAAGUAGUGUAACAGUUCAGCACUUCUGGGUUGUACGUCAGAACGAAGGCUCACUAUUGGCCAGCAUCUCACACAUGACCAGCAUGAGCCUCCGUUCUGAUGUACAACCCAGAGGCACUGCGCUGUUACAUAACGUAACGCUACGCUUGAUAAACUUCAGGUUGAGCCACUGUGGUCACUUGGACUAUUUUAACAUGUCUUUAUAAACUUUCUGGGCUGGCAAGUUUAAAUUACAGAGAAGCCUAUGGAGGAGUGAGACAACUCGGAUCAUCAAAAAUAGUUUAAUUUGUGUUCCGAUGAUGUAUUACUGGGUUGGAACAACAUGAGGAUGUCCGAUGAUCACCGCUCAAUUCUUUAUGUGCCAGUGGGGAUUGUGAUAGUUGAAGAUGGGACAAGAUGGGUCUCCCUCUUCGAUUGGAAUCGUAAUCGAGGGAAAAUUAGUGAUGGACAAUCUACGUGACCUUCCUGAAGCAAUGUGCCUUCUGUUCGGACUAAUAUAUGCAUUGCACCUGAGUUACCCAAAGUCGCUGGGAUACACGUUUGACUACAUUCAGCGGAUUAUACUUUCCUUGGGGCAGAAAGACCUGCAGCCAAAAACACAAUCGUUGGCAAACCAGCUGUUUGGCUAAAAUGGAGAAAUUGCUUGGCGCACUUUUAAUAGCAACACAUUUACAUUAAACAUGGUCUUUUGAAAAUGAGACUUAAAAAUA